GGGAGGGGGAAGAUGGAUUAGUUGUCUCGUUUAUCUUGUGUUUUUGCAUGUUUUGGUUUUAUUUUGUUUUUGUUAUGUUUUGAAUAAUUGAAAGACUUUUUGAUGUUUUGAUUUUUGUUGGGAUAAUUGUAACAAAUUUUGUGAGGAUGAUUUGUUUGUUAUUGGGCUUAUGAUAUGAUUGUGUUUUUGAAAAGAAAUUGUUAUGUGUCACUUGUUGAUUUUGCAUGAAGGGUUUGAACUUGUGACGAUGAGCUAAAUGUUAUACCUCCAAGAACUUGAAAAUGAAAAUGAGCUUGUGAGAAUUGAGCCUUUGAUUGUCAUACAUUUACAAUCUCAUUUUGUUCUUGAGUGUAAAUCAUUUGAGCAUGUGUGUUGAUCUCUAGAACUUGCCAUGAGUCCUCUCUUGAAAAUAAAAGUAGAUGUGUUAUUAAUAUUGAAGUGAUUUAAGGCCAUCUUUGUUAGCCACUUAACUCAAAUUGUGUCCAAAUUCUCAUAUGAUCCUAGUUUACCCCUUUUGUGCCUUGUAGCCUUUCAUUGAAUAACCAAUGAUAAAGGGGUAGAACCUAGAGUGUUGGUGGUUGCUUUGAUGAAGAAAAGUUUGGGAAAUGAUUGAAAAUGCUUAUCAAGCUUUGAUUAAGUGAAAAUCACUAGUCCCCUAUGAGCUCAAAAAGAAAAAGAAAAAAAAAUGGAAAUGAAUGUGAAUAAAAAGAGCAUAAAGGGGAGUGAUUUACCUUUUGAAUCAUGGCCAUGAUAGAUAUCACUAGGGAUGAAAAGAUGAAAUGUAGAGAUUUUGAUUUUUGUUUGAUAAGAGAAAUAGUGAAGUCGAUUUGUUCAUUAUGAUUAUUUGAUCGUGGGAUGAGUCACUUUGCCUAAAAACUACUCACCUUACCAAAGAGCCCUCAUUACAACCCAAG
rnacentral:lncRNA from 1 species